GACGAACGCUGGCGGCGUGCUUAACACAUGCAAGUCGAACGGAAAGGCCCUGCUUUUGUGGGGUGCUCGAGUGGCGAACGGGUGAGUAACACGUGAGUAACCUGCCCUUGACUUUGGGAUAACUUCAGGAAACUGGGGCUAAUACCGGAUAGGAGCUCCUGCUGCAUGGUGGGGGUUGGAAAGUUUCGGCGGUUGGGGAUGGACUCGCGGCUUAUCAGCUUGUUGGUGGGGUAGUUGCUUACCAAGGCUUUGACGGGUAGCCGGCCUGAGAGGGUGAACGGCCACAUUGGGACUGAGAGACGGCCCAGACUCCUACGGGAGGCAGCAGGGGGGAAUAUUGCACAAUGGGCGGAAGCCUGAUGCAGCAACGCCGCGUGCGGGAUGACGGCCUUCGGGUUGUAAACCGCUGUCGCCUGUGACGAAGCGUGAGUGACGGUAAUGGGUAAAGAAGCACCGGCUAACUACGUG
rnacentral:rRNA from 1 species